UGGGCUGGUUUCUGACAGGCAGGAUAAAGAAUGAUGCUGGUUCUUCUUGUGAACUGUGAGAGAGGUCAACAACCCAACCGAUAUUGGCUUCAAAUGUCAUUUGCUGUGGGUUCCACUCACAGCUGGGUAAUGCCCUGGUCUGAUCUUCCUUCAUUGCACUGUCCCUGUCAGUAGAGGACAAUGAUGAAAGGUAGUGUAGAGGCACAGGUCCUGAGCAGGUAACUCUCCUCUGACAUGGCUUGUGGACAGGACAUUUAAUAGCAUUUAUGAACAGUCUGGCCAGGGCUGCUGUGAGACUUGAAAUGUGGUGUGCUUGAAGGCAUAAAGGAAAUAUUGGCAGAAACUGGUCUACAUGCUUCUUUAAUAAGAACAGCGUGAAGUUUAAUGUAGGCUUGGUCUUCACUGCUUCCUCCUGCUCCCUAGUACAUUCACUGUAGGGGUGUGAAAGAUACGCAGUUUUAGUUGUUGCUUUUAGCUGUUUUCUUUUGUAGUGCUGACACUAUGACUCAAGAUCAGCAAUUUUUAAAUGUACUACUUAGUUUAACUGAUGUGAUGAGCAAUAUAUUAACAGGAUUUAAGGUGUUUUUGUGCAAAAAUACAAUGACUUUGUCUAAUACCUUAGAACUGGCAUCCUGUUACACACAGGAUGUUUUUUUGUUGAGAUGAAGUAAUAAGCUUGAUCUCUAUCACUCUUACACCUUCUUUCUCUCUUCCCUAUAUUCUGUUACCUUUACAUGACCUUUACAACCGUGGCUGGAGCUUUUUUUGUUUAACCACAGCUGUUUUGGGCUGUCGUCACUGGCAAGAAAACAUUAGUGGAACACCAAAAUGUCUUGAGUUGUAUUCCCCCACAUUUAGCUGGUGUGAUUGUGAGGGGGUCCCAGGCACCACAGGAGUCAGUCCCAUAGUGUGCUCUGACGCUGUGGGAGGAGGAUUCUCCUUCCCUCCCAUUCACAUGCUUGCCUUAGUAACUCUUUGUAGUGUCUCUCAUCAAACAGAAUAUCCUCUGGAUUUUUUUUUUUUUUAAAGCAAAAUAUUUUACUUUUUUUGAAGGAAAUCUUUAAAACUCUUUUAAAUCAGUAAAAAAAUUAAUUUGGCGGUGGUUUCGUAUAUCCAUCAUGUAGGUUGUGGUUUUCUCAUUCAUCCUUUAUUAUUGAGAAGGUUCACUUUAUUAAAUUCCAUGGUUUAACUUUUAAUCAGGAAAGCAAAUGGAUGUGUCCAAAUCAGGUGCAAUUUGUAUGGCCUUUGAGGUAUACGUGGAGUGUUGUUGGCCAGCUGACUGGAAGAAAGAAAGAUUAUUUUUGGCUUGUUCCCUAGAAACUUGCCUGUUCAGGGGCCAACAAAACAGUAAGAACAGGCAGUACAUUAUUUACUUUGUCAACUGGUUCCUACAGGUAAUUAAUCCAUCACUUGGCUUCACUGAGCCUUAGCAAAGUGAUUUCCUACAUAAUCACUUCCUGGAACAAAGGAGUACAGUAAAAUACAAAAUCUCUGAGGUAAAAUACUAAAUCUGUGAGGUGGGUCUUUUACAUGAGCAGACAUCUUAAGUGCUGAAUUGAAAUAUCUCUCAUAGCUGGGAAUCACAGAAUCACAGAAUCCUGUUAGGGAUUGGAAAGGACCUCAAAUGAUCAUCUAGUCCAAUCCCCCUGCCAGAGCAGGAAUGGACAAGCUUAUUUUCAUCUUCCCUGCUGGACCAAAAGCUAGAUAUUGAUUAGUCAUAUUUUCCAUAGUUAGCGCUGGGAAUGAUGUGGGGUGAAGGUAUCAGUGUCCAUUCAUUUACUCACAUUUUGAGAGUAGUCUUGUCUUUGUUUUAUUGUAUUCCAAAUUGCAUUUUAUUGGUUGUGGAUAAGGAAACUAUGGUAACCGCAUUAUUCUUAGCCUUCUUAAAAGAAGCAGCUUUCAAAUAAACAGAGAAAGUUGAAAUACAUUUUUAAGGCAUUUGGCAGACCAAGCGUUGCAUUCAAAAACAAAAUACCCAGCCACUGAGUUUUAGUUCAUUUUAGAUCAAGAGAACAUGGUUAUGAAAUAAAAAAGAAACCUUCCAUAAAACUAGAAUAAUUUAUUGGCAAGAAGACUAGAGGAAUAAAAGAAAGCUGGGAAGGUUGUAUACAGCCCAGCUAAGAAGAUCAGCAUGAGAUUGUACAACAGCCAAGAAAAUCAAUCAAAAAGGAAUAAUAAGGGUUUGGGAUGAGAAAAGAGGCAAGAGAAAUAGUUUUCUUGGGGCAUCUGUUUGACAUUGUUUCAAAUGCAUUCUUGAUGCUUGUGAAAAGAGAUUUUUUUGUUUAGAUUGUACUUUGUGAAGUUUGCUUUGUGGUUGUUCCAGAUAAAGACCCCAUCCUUGUAUUUUUUUGCUUCCACAGUAUAAUUAGGUAAAAUGUGGUAAGAGAAAAAAACCUAUACUGUGAAUAUGUUGUGGUUCUGUCUUUCCAGUACAGAAAUACUAUGUACAGGACUGACAGAGCUUCAAGGUUCAUGAAAUCUGUCAUAUGUAGACUCAAGUCAAGAACACGAGGGUUUUAAACAUAUGGAAAGCCUGCCUGCCCAGCUCUCGGUGAUCGUGGUGAUAAUGAAGCAAACUAGACUGCUUGUCAAGUGAGUGGCCUGGGUGAGGAGGCUUAGGCCUGUUUGCUUGGGAAGAUCUGGUGUGUACAGAGGGUUUGUUCUGUCCUGCUGUGCAAAGAGUCCCUAUGGCUCUGUGCCUUGAAACAAAUGCUAUUGCAGUUUGACACGUGAAGUGUUUACCCCUUGCAGCCCUAGCUGGACAGAACCGUCCCCACCUUGUGACAGCAAAGCACCAACUGUUUGGAAAAUAAGAGCAAGCCUCCCUAGUUUUCCCUUAUCUCUUAUGGCUGUAUGUUUGAUAAGUUUGGAAUUUGGUAUGUGAAGUCUUGUUCCUGAAGAAAUGCAUGACUCAUUGGCUUCAGCAGGCCAGGAUUUUAUCUAAGACAUGUAACACCAUUGCCUUAUGUUUUAAAGCGACCAUAUUGUAGUAUGUUACAGAUAUUUGUCCUAAUCGGUGCUUGUCGACAUGAUGCAAUUAAGCUAAUUGGUUUCAACAUAUAUGUUUCUGAUUUAGAAAGCAAAUCAUACAGAAAAAUAUUGAGGAAGUGAUGCAAACAAUACAUCAGCCAUGUACCAAAGGCUGCAGAUAUUAUGGCAGUCGUCCGUCUUACUGAGCAGUGUGCAGCGGGGGCUGGUGACACUUGAAGCACUGUUCUGAUCGCUCACUGACAAGUUGUCCUAGGCUCACCCAGUGCUGCUCCAAGCACAGCCCAUUUUGAACAAGCCAGGCAUGUGCACUGGUUUGGUUUGGUUUGGUUUGUUUAAAAAAAACAAUGACAAAUCUAAACAAAACCCCAAACUCAUAAAAUGUUAAUGCAGAUGAAAUCAGAACAACAUAUUUUAAUUUUGUUAAAUGUGAGUGAUAUCCUUCGUAGCAUUUUUCACAUUAUCUAUCUACAUUCCAAUUAAUAGAAAUCUCUUGUGUGCUAUAUGAGGACAAAUUACAAAAGACAGAAAAGAUUUAAAAUAGUGCUGCAAUAGUGCCAUGUUGUCUCCUUUUUUAAAAAGAGUAGAGAAUAGGUGAAAAAAGCUGUGGUCACAACAGAUUUCCAGACUGAAAACAGAAUUAGAAUUAUUGAUCAUAUGGAAGCAAUAUAUAACAUUCCUGUGGAAUCUGGGAGAGGAGAUUUAUUACCACUUUUAUAUCUUCAUGUGAGUACAUUGCUCUUCCAACUGAUACUAAAGCAAAUAGAAACCAGUUAACGAAUAACACCCCACCACCACCACCCCCCCCACACCCCUUUUUUUCCAGAGGGCUUGAUUCCCACUUUUGUAUCUUGAGUGUUUCUGCAACCAAGGUUGACAACUGUGAUCCAAAAGCAGAAAUUAGGAUUUAUUUGCUGAGUACCGUAUAAAGCUCAGUGCUGUCAAGGACAAGAAAUAGUUUCCCAAUGGACAUAAAUCUUUACUGGAUCCGAGUUUUCAGUCCCAAGUGCUUGUGUAACUUUGUACAGGGCUCAGAUGUGAAUGUUCGGAGUACGGAGUCAGAAUUGUAACUACUUACUGUUUUUACAGUUCUCAGGUCUGCAAACUUCUAAGGUAAUUUCAGAGUGCUUUUUGCAAUGGAUUUAAAGCAAAUCAGUAUAAUCAAAUACUCUGUAGCAAUUACGUCUCAUCAAACAUGAGGAUGAGUAGCUAAGCGGUCCCAGGGGUCACCAGCGCCUGUCUCUGCCCAGGACGCCUGUGGCUGCUCUGAGCUGGUUUCUUGCGCGAGGGCUUGGUUGUCCCCUGCACCAGGGAUCCUCCCCCAGCAGGCUGGAAGUGAAAAGAGGGUGGUGGCAGAGGUGAGGAAUGGGAUCAGCUUUCCCGCUUGCAGUCCUGCAGUGGGCCCUGUGCAAUCCCCAGGCCUGUUCCCACACACACGUGUGAGGUGUGGGUAUGAGCUCCUGUACCAUGUAUGCCAUGGUCUGUAGCAUCCACACAGACCACCAGCAGGAGUUAAUCCACAUAGACUUGUUUCUAGAAAACAUAUUUUUUUGCUAGACCCAUGCGUUCCUUAAAUAGCCCUAUUAAUCUGAUACUCUAAUGAACAAGCAAAAAAACCCAAACAAACAAACACCAAACAAAACACAAAACAAAAAACCCAGGCUUAGCUUAGUUCUUGGGACAAGAAUAGCACAUUGAGGGGCUGUUACUUUUUUAACUCCUAAACAAAAAUGUUGAGGUGUUGCAGUAGAAGGGGCCCUGCAUGUGCAGAAGGGAAUGACUGGGUAAUCGAGUCGGUCUCUGAGUUGGACCCAACUCCUUCUUCCAGGAGCCAAACUAAAGAAGCAGAACAGGAGAGGCAGUGUUUGUGUUUCACCUCUUUGUGGGCACAGAUGUGUCCCCACACACAUACAGACAUGUUUAAAGAGGCGAAGGUACUGCCCAAACUUUCAUCUGUGGCUGUAAAAGAGGCCUAAAUACGUCACUCAAAUAAGUGGAGACAGUAUGAUGGCUUUGGAGUUCUUACGUCAGCCCUGCCAGCUGUUAAAUUGUGAAGAGUUUAACAGCUCCUGUUAACACUUGCUAAUGAUGGCUGUGAGUAUUAGAUGACUCUUAAUAAUGUCUGUUGCUUGCUGGCAUUAAAUGUAUUCCCAGUUACUAGGGUGCAGGGAGAGGUUUGGCUCCACAAACAAUUUUCUGUUUCCUUGGAGAAAAAAAACGAUCCAGCAAUGUUUGAACUCCUUGUGCCAAAUCAUCUCAUUGUCUGCCUGUAUUUUAUCCCGUGUAUCUUUGGGUUACAAGAAAUCUGCCUGAUGCUCCCCACAGCUUAAAGAAAACAUGGUGUGUCUACUUAAACUUUGUACAAAGAUUUCCUGAGAGAAGGGAAUAAUGAAGGAACAUGGCAAAGUAGGAAUGCUGGGUAAAGGUUAAUAUAGAGGUUAUUCCAGGUUUAAGGAUCUGCAUAGAGACAGAGGAGUGAAUGUAUCUGGCUUUAUACCAUACUUGUCCCUCAGGUUCCUCUCAGCAUGGUUUUGAUAUCAAAACAUCUCUUGGAUUCGUUCUUCUCUCUCCAAAUCCUGAUUUAAAGAAGCUCCUCUCUGCAAACUUUUCUUUUUUUCCUAAUCCCCAGAGGACAUUUGAACUCUGUGGUGGAAAAAUAAAAUCUCUCCUGACUCUUUUGGCCCUUCAGAGAGCACUGUUAAUCCCUCAGAAGAUCUCCCCUGUCAGCUUUAGCCCUGUCCUGUGACCAAGGCCCCUUGUCCUACACUCAGUAAACUGGAGGCAGAGUCAGCGGCAACUUCAGCCAUGCUUUAAUGCAGUGAAGGCAUUGGCGUAUCCCUUGCAGUUUUAUAUUACUGAUUCGGUAAAAGCAGCAAAACUGUGGGAGCUGUAGAGGGAAGAAAGAUCAGCAAGAACAACCAAGUUGCUGAAGUGCCAACCUCGCUUUUCCUGAGGCUCAUGGAAAUGCUCCCUCUCCCUCUGGGGCACUUGGGGCCAGCCCUUGCUCAGUGCCCCGGGAGAGUCAAACUCCUGCUCCUUGCAACAGAAUGGGGAGAUGUCACUUGCAUUAACCCCACGCCUCCCACUCCUGAACACAGGCACGCUCCAUGGGCAGGCACACAGAACAGCCCUUGUCCCCAGCGCUGUGGGACUGCCUGGCACAGCUCCAUGUGGCACAUACUUGUCAGGCGGAUUUGCAUGGAGUUACGGAGUGUGAUCAAGGCCUCGGAGGACAGGAGCAAAGCUACACUGCUUUACAGCAGCUGAAUGUCAAGAGCAGCCUUUUUGUUGAAGUUUUCAGUUGAGAGGCUGGUACAGUCGUAGAGAAUAGUGACCUAGAAAGAUGUUUAUGUGGCAUUUUCACUCCUGCUUCUAGCUGUAUCUAUAGUCUUUAGAGAGGAUCCUCCUUCUGGCUGUUCCACUGACGUACUGCUGGCAAGUCUUCAUGUCAAUGGGUUUUAUGAAAAGAAAGCAGGCUGCUUGAGCUAUCCAAUAUAGAAUGAAUGUUCUGUUUUUUCACGUUCUCCUGUCCCUAAUGGUUGCUUUACUAGUAAAGCAGAGGGGGACUUCCUUCAUUUACUGUUGGGGCGAUCAGCUUCCCAUCCUGGCCUUGCUGAUCAUCUUGAAAGCCACUUACCAAGUUUGCUUCUGAGCUGUAUCGUAGAUUGCUAAUUAUUUCUUGGUUGAUGGGGCAGGCUCUUGGAGAACAGCCCAUCACAGCUCAUUCUUCAGGGUGCAUUGUUCUGCUGCAUUUUUUUCCAGCCUGCUGGCUAAAACAGAGGUGUCAAGAAAAGAUGGCCUUGGAAGGCUGCUUGGCCUUGUUAAAUUUCUGUCCUCCUUUUCUGUUGUGUAGGACAUAAAAACAUUCAGCCUGUUUCUUAUAUACCAAUUAUGCACAUCUUUUACCCUCUCAUAGCUUUUCUCAUUUUUGUAGUCCAUGAAGCUCCUUGCUCUCCUCAGACCUCCUAUGGCUCCUUUAAUUAUUAAUUACAUCAGAAGACAAUGAAGGAGGGUUGUAAAUUUAACAUUAUUGCAUACCAGCUUGGAAGAACUUUACAGAGCUGUUACCUGUAAGCAGUUUUUCUGUUUUCUACACCCACAGGACUGGUACAUUGUGUAAGAGGUGAGGAGGCUGAGCAGUCACAGGAGUGUCACAACACUGCUCUGCAACCAAACACAUUUUUUAAAAACGACAGCUAAAGGAAUCCUGUACUCAGAUUUUAUAAUGUGUGAGCUCAACAGAAUAUGCCAGACAGGCCCAAACUGUAUGGCUUUCUUGAAAACUCCCCUACAGUCAGAAAGAAAGGAGUCCUAUGGUCUAGAAACUACUGAAAAAUAGUUUGCCCUGUUCUCCUCCCCUCCAGCCACCUCUGUUAAAAACUCUUACAAGGGUUAUUAUUUAGUGGGAUUUUUUUCAGCUCUCUACAUUUUGCAUCUUCCUCUACCCAUGUUAGUCACCACAUUCUUCUUGUCACUCACCUCGGACUGUUAUUCAUCCCCUUCUUCUGACCCACUUUAUUUUCACUGGCUUCAUUGCAGCAGCUUCUGACCUCCACUGCUUCAGAUCCCACAGCUUGACUGAUGUCUGUUCUCUCUCUCCUUUCCCUGACUUUUGUGAGAGUAUUUCACUGCCUCUUUUUCUCUUAUUUCUCUGUUAUAGCCAACAUAGUGCCCAAAUGAAGACCACUCCUUGUCUUUCUGUGUUAUCCAUGGCUGGGGAUUGAUGUUAGGCAAAGUGUGAUAGUGGAAUAUUCGGCAGUUAAGGAAACAUGGGGUUUAUGCAUUGAUUUGCAGGUAGCAAUGCUUGCCUCUCUCACAAUUUCAUUCUUGGUCCUUGUUUUCAGUUGCUGAACUGGAAACUGAGUGGAAAUUUGUCUGUUGAACAUCCACUCAGAUUCUGGAUUCUUUUUUGAAAGGUGCAUUUGAAAUUAUUUGCUCACCACGGUGUUAUUAGGUGGAAGUAUUUUCAUCACCCAAUUAAAAAAAUAAAAAUUAAUAGCAGCUUCUUCUCCAAGCUCUGUGUUAUGAAAAAGACAGUAAGAAUUUGGUCAUUUUUAUGUCAAAGAAAGUUUAAAAGGGGGAAAAAAAACCAAAUUUUCAACUCAGAAGGAGGAUAGCAAAAAAAUCUGCCUUACCAUGUAUCCCAUUCAGCCUGCCUUUAUUUCAGAGCAUCCUUUGUUCCGCCUGUGUCCAAUCUUGAAUUGAAAAGAUUCAUUUUCGUAGGCUAGUUCAUAGACUGUGCCAGCCUGUCUUUGCUCCUCCCUGCUUGUUCCUUGCCUCCACCACAUCUAUCAUAACAUGCUUUGUUUUGUUUCCAGGACAUUCCUGUCUGCAUCCCUUGCUUGUUAUCUGUCAUUGAGUAUUGAGAGAGAAUUUUCCACCGUCAUUCAAACCCACAUGCAUGCUCAGCACUGGCCCCGCCAGCCCUGGAAAUGUGUCAUCUGUGGGUGCUGCUGGCAGCUCCCUUGCCUCAGCUCCCCAAAGCACGUACAUGUGUGCUGUGGGUACGGGGCUCACAGCAGCGACAUGGUUCCUCUGAACCAUGGCCAUGACAAUAACUGCCAGAUGCUUCAAACAUGUUAACAGUUAGUGUUGCUGUUCUUGAAAAUAAAAUUUGCUUCAGGACAACUUGAGAGAUUUUCUAGCUUUAGUAGAGUCUGAAAGCAAAAGACUGGUUGCUAAGCAGAUUCUGUCUUUAUUUUUAUUUUCAUUGCUGCUGUCGGGGCUGGCCCCUCUCAAUGGCUUCUUUUCUUGCAGUGUGCCAAUGUGGCCAUGUCUUAAUCUAUGUACUGCACAAAGAAACUGUCAGGCAAAUUUUCUUUCCAUUGAUAAUUAUCUUGUGAAUCUCAGGACUCAAGCAAGAGAACAACUUGUAACAUUCUGGCAGCAUUGAGUAAACUGUUCAGGGAAGUACUGGCUGUAAAAGCUGUGUGGGUUUAAACCAUGCAGUGCUAGCUAGAGAAACAUGCGGUGGGAGUAACUGUGCUCUAGUAACACAGCGUUACACACUGUAAAAUUCAGAGCAAAUUGUGGGCCUUUGACAGACUGUUUUCCAUUUUAGAAAUAUAUGAUCAGAUGCAGUUUAAGAAGCUGUACUUGUUCUGAUGUUUUCUGGCCAUGGCUCGUUUGUGAAUGACGUCCUUUUGGGAGAUGUUGGCUGCAGUUGUUACUGAGGGUUAAUUCAAUGUAUAGCAGGGUUGAUAGUUGCUUAGUUUCGAUGCUAGGCAAAGUGUGAUAGUGGAAUAUUCGUCAGUUAAGGAAACAUGGGGUUUAUGCAUUGAUUUGCAGGUAGCAAUGCUUGCCUCUCUCACAAUUUCAUUCUCAGUCCUUGUUUUCAGUUGCUGAACUGGAAACUGCGUGGAAAUUUGUCUGUUGAACAUCCACUCAGAUUCUGGAUUCUUUUUUGAAAGGUGCAUUUGAAAUUAUUUGCUCACCACGGUGUUAUUAGGUGGAAGUAUUUUCAUCACCCAAUUAAAAAAAUAAAAAUUAAUAGCAGCUUCUUCUCCAAGCUCUGUGUUAUGAAAAAGACAGUAAGAAUUUGGUCAUUUUUAUGUCAAAGAAAGUUAAAAGGGGGAAAAAAACCCAAGUUAUGUCUAUCCAGGUGAAAUUUCUUAUUUUGGCUCUGAACUGCUGAAGGCGUCUGCAUAUGCUGAACCUGUUCUUUUCCUUUGUACUUCUGUAUGUUCAGCGUCCAAAUAGACAUUGAUGCCAACCAGAGAGACUAGGAAGUUCACGUUUUUGUCUGUGGCUUCAUUGGUGUAAAAAGAGAGGGUAAUGCUGCCUCAGAAGACACGCUGUUUAGGAACAUCUUAGGGAAACUUGUGAAGGAGCUGGAAUUUGCAUGGUCGGUGCUGGUGUGUAUGGUAUGCAGAGCUCGGAACAGAGCAGGCAGACACCGUGAGCUCACUGCCUGGCUUGUCCCUGCUCUGUGCCCCGCAUGGAGAAAGGGGCAGUGUGGUUGGGCAAAAAGCAUGUGUCUGUGUAUCAGGUGGGCCUAAGCCAGACUCAAUUCUAGCACCACUUCUCCUGUCUUUGAGACACAUUUUUCACCUAGCUGCAGAGAGGGUGUUGAUGAUUAAGAGUGUUCUUUUUUUCCUCGAGUGAUUUUUAGAGCACAGUUUAUUUGUGCUACUGAUGCAUCCUUGGCUUUAAGAGGAAUUGAAUUGUGAGUCUUGUAGCAAGCACAUCCCUGUUUGUGCUAAGUCCAGGAAGUCCUGGAAACGUGCUUUAGUGUGAUACCUCUGUUACUAGUCCGAGCCUUGCUCUCCAAACCUGCUCUCUGUGGAGGGGCCGGUCCCCUCUGCAGCUGCCCUCAAGGGACUCGUUCUGGAGCACAUGCUCUUUGCUUUUGUCAUCUCCUCGGUUACUUAUUUGCCUCUUUUCCUGAAGCAUCUCUCCUGCUUACUACAGUUAUUAAUUUUUCACAUUUGUGUACUUGUGCCUUUCACUUCCCAGUUCAGCUGUGAUAAUAACUGAAAUGCUCUUUUUGUUUGGCAGACAAGUGGAUUUGUCUGUAUGCUCCUGGCCUCCUGACACCUAAAACAGUCUUCAAAAGCUUAUGCCCUAUUUGCUGCACAUACAAGCAAGGCAACAAGUAAGGGCUGGACAAUAAUUUGUAUCAUUUUGAUGAAAAGGGGUGUCUGUUUCUGUUUUAUCUAAUAUUAGACUGGGGGGUCCUGAAUAACUUACUCUCUGAAGGCUCAGUCACUAACCAACACUAACUUUGAGAGCCAUCCAGCCUUUGGGGCUGCUCUGUGCUCGACACUUGUACCAUUUGAGUGACAGCAUCAUUCCCUUGGUGCAGUCCGAGCUGAGGAUGGCUCUUAGAGGAAGGACUGGAAGUAAAUUAUUACAGUUGCAAAUUAGAUUCCAGUGAAGAUUGUGAAACACUUGAAAUAUGCUCCCCUGGUGACAAUUAUACAAACUAAAUCCCACUCUAUUACAAGCCACAAGGUAAAACCUUCAGUUAUUUCAUCUCUUGCUGUUGCCAUCUACCACAGAAGCAGGUCUGAUCAGUGAGGAAUAAGAAUGAGGCUUUAUUUCUGUCCUAGAAAAAUGCCACAUGGUGUUUUGCAGUGUGUGACAGGAGCUGGAGAGCCCCCCCAACCCUGCAACACUCUGAGUUAACAUGGAAGUAACUCCCCCAUGUACAGACCCUGAGAAGGACAGUUGGCGGGGAUUCACUGUGUGGGGGUGAAAACAAAAGCCAGAUCACAGCUAGAGUCAAUCUGCAGUUUCAGUCCUUGUUGAGACCAGUUUCUGCUCAUGCUUGCUUAUUUACUGUGGGGUCACAAGUGUGACUGCAACUUAACAUUAAUUAUGAAUGCUCCAAGAGGUACACAAAGUAAACAUGUUUUUUGUGCCCAGUGCAGAAGGGCACUUGGGCCUGUACAUCAGGAAAGCAAAGGAACAUAGCUGUGGCUUAGGGUGUUUCUUACAGACAGCUCCAACAAAGUAAGGUGAAAACGUGCCCUCCAUUCCACUUUUGCAUCUUUUUUGGAGCAUUUUCAUCUUGGUAUCAGUUCCCCCCCCCAAUUUCUCCUUCCAAAUGGUCUCAGAGCAGUGUCCAAGAAAUAAGCUACUUUCUGUUUUAAGAUACAUUCAUAAAUAUUCAGUCAAAUUUUCUGUGCUUUCACCUUCAAAUGCUCGAGCAUGUUGAUGAGUGGCAAAGAUUUCAGGAAUUUACUGGAGAAUUACAUCAUUGUAGAUUUUAUAAAUUGCCUGGUGUCCUAUGGCACCAACGUUAUAAGCUCUGCUAAUCUGCCUCACCAGUGUGUCUCUUGGUGGGUCACUGACAUUUAUCUAUUUCUGUUCAGUGUCACUAAGUGACUAGAGAAGAUGGUUGCUGUGUGGGUUUUAAAGCAGCGUGUGUGAUCAUGGUUCCCAUUCAUCAUUAUUAGCUUCUGCUGAAGAUCCACAUCCCUCCCAAGUACUGUUCAGUGGCUUAUGCCCAAACGCAGUGUGUUCAUGAAAAGCCUUCAAAACCAGACAAGAUUUGCGGAAUGGCCAGGAGUUGAACAACACACUGAUGGACUCAACCGUGGACUUGAAGAAACAUCACUAAAUUGAAGUCUGCGUGCUUAGGAAUUUACAAAUUAUGCUGUGGUACAUAUGACAGGAUAAUUGUUUUUUCAAAGCCCUAAAGUGAGUGCAGUCCCAAAACUCAAAACCUCUUGGCAGCUUGGGGCAGCCUGUGGAUCUCAGUAGUUUGUACUGUAUGUGAAGUUCUGCUUAUCAGGUCUUGAAGCUGCACUGAGAGCACAAGCCCUUGUCUGGCACAUUGUUCUGCCUUGUUCUAUAUUUAGGCUAGAUACAAAGAGAUUUGCAGGAUCUUUAAGUUCAGAAACAGCAAACCAAAAUAAUUGUAGGCUUGAUUUUAUAAUGCCUAAAAAAGAUAUCUUAAACAUUCUGGAAGCAUAAGGAGACAGUGGAGGUUGUCUGACUGCUUAGCACCAUUUGGGAAAAAUAAUAUUAAAAAAAGUACCCAGACAGACCUUAACUCUUAAACCUUUUCCCUUUUAAAUUUCUCACCUGCUGUGUUCCAGGAUACAUGCAGGAACUAUACAGAUCUUCAAGAAACAUGGGCAUUGAUGUGCUAACACCUGAAAAAAGACAGCUUUUUUUUAUAUGGAUUCUCUCAAUUGUGAGAGCAGCCGAAUGUGUUCUGUUCCUGCCCACAUCACGUGCUGCUCCCUUGCUGCCCUUCCCAGAGACAGAUGCCACUGCAGGUGUUUAGCAGUUAGUAUGCUUAGUUGGGGAGCCAUGACUUCUGGUUCCUGCUCCUGGGAAUAUGUGUGUGUGUGUAUAUACACACAUUGGGGGUUUGGAAUUUUUUUUUUUUUUCAUGUUUGGCCCUGUUGGAUAAAGUGCAGAGUCAUCCUCUUUGCUCCAUGCACUAGCUGAUGUUUUACCUCCCCCUAGCUCCUGGGGCUGAUUGCUGGAUUAGUAUUUCUCAUUUUCAUGAGAGGGUGUGUGUGUGAGAACUGGAAGAUGUGGAAUUACCUCCCAUAAGUGAUGGUCCUGCAUGUUGGGUCUUCCCUUCCCUGGGGAGUGUCAUUAAUGCCAGCAGUUGACUAAAAAGUGGGCUCUGCUUUGCUGGCUAGAGGAAAGAAAAGGGCUGCAGCUGUGGUCAAGGAGCUUGUCUGUGAUGGGUGCUAUCCAAGAACCAUCCCUGACCGUUCCAAGGAAGAGAGGGCCUUUUAGUCCUGGUUGUCCUGAUCAGAUGCUGGUAGGGAGCUGUGCUUAGCCUGUGGCACCUGUGAGUGUACCCCAGGCAGCUUGAUGAACCUCACAGUCCAGCAGCAAAAUGUUAAUAAAAGCAUGUUUAGGGCUCUGCAGAGCUGACUAGAGGUUUUCUGGUUGCAGAGGUUUGGGUUUUUAGUGCCUUAGUCCUGUGGAGGUGUUGGCAGAGGUAGCCAAGUCCUUUAGACAUUCUGGCUCCAGCAUCCUGCGGAGUCCAGCCAGAGAUGCUUCUCUCGGACCCCACUCAGACGGCUGCAUCUCCCCCCGACCUCCUCACAAAUGCCCACCAGCCUGUUGCACGCUGGGUGUGCGGGGAGCCGUGUGAGCCCUCGCCGUGCCCUUGCGCUGCCGCCUGGACAGCCCUCCCCACCCCAGCAGAGCAGUGGGAUUUGCCUCCUGGCAGGACUUGUCUCUAUUGCUGGCACGCUCUUAGUGCGGGUGGAAGGAUUUAAAAAAGCAGCCGCCUAAUCCACUCCUGACCCUCCUUAGAAGCCUCCCCUGCACACAGGUCGGGCUGGCGCUUGCCGCGUUGCUAAGGCCUGCAUGUAUCCUGGAGACGGCGCCCAGCAAAUAGCUGAGCCGCUCUCUGGAAAGCCAAUAUCGCAGCCCGGAUUGCAGUGCUCCGGCACGCUCGGGCUUUCUGCAAGAAGGAAUUCAACGUCUUCCUGCUGCUAAAGCAAUGCCGACAGUUCCUUCGGCAAAGAAGAUGUGGAAACCCACGGAUGUGCUGAUAAGUGUACCCCUGAGAUAACGGGGUGUGGAGGGGGCGUUUUGGCACACAUGCUGUGCGAGACCAGCAAUGGCUGUGUCAAACCAUUUAGACUUGUGCUUUUGAGAGCUGCAAAACGCCUUUUGUUCACAGCCCUGUGCCCCGAUCCGUGCCCCUGCUGUGGGCUGUACAGCGGUCACUUAAGAAGCCUGCUGCUUGUUUUUUUUUUUUUCCUGGGGGCUGAAGCCAUGGCAAAGGUCCCUGACCGAAGCAGGCACAAAUGGAGCGCGCUUCACACUUUCCUCCGCUGCAACAUGAACCCAGAGACCCAGCGAGUAGUGGUCUUUGUCAUCCUGCUCUUCCUCAUCAUUGUCAACGUGGUGCUGAUGUUUCUUUUGGCGUUUCACUGAAGGAGGACUGCCGGUAGUGGUGUGGUGUGUGGGGGUUUCCAGGACUGGGCGACAAAUCAGCAGCUUGGAUCGCCGUUAAACCAGAGAAAGGGAAAGAGGUAACAGAGCCAACCUGCUUAAUCGUAACUGCUUUCUGUGGCGCUUAUCAGCCUCGAUUCCUAACGAUGACGAUAUUGUGCCUAUAUGCAGCACUCUUCAGCCGUGGAGAAGCCUGAAGUGCUGCUGCUUUGUUUGCAGAGGAACGUCCAUCCUGUACUGAGCCCUUACACAAGGACCUGCUACGUGUAAACACCUGCUGUAAAAAGUGGAACCCUAUGAUGCCUCUGCUGCUCUGCCACGGUGAACACUGUGCUUUGCGGUGGCAUGAGUAACGCCCAAUUAGCCAAAGUGAUUGAUCAAUAGAAUGCAUCAGGAAUUCGGCCUGAAUAAACUCUGCGGCAGUGUGGAAGGAGUGUUUUAUUGGCUUUUAUACCAUUUUCCUUUAUUAAAUCUCAGUGCUUAUCUGCUGUGUGCAUUAAAAUGGCUGGCGAAGCACAGCACAGGACACUGCCUGCAGGCCACGUGUUCCCAGUGGCCAGCAGCAGCCAGGCUCAGCGGGGAAGCACCUCAAGGAGCACUCCUGUAGAUGCAUUAGGCGGGGAGGGCAGCAAAGCGGUGCACUCACUCCAGGCCUGUUCACCUCAAUGAUGUUUAAUCAGCGGCCCCGUACAUCUUGCGGCACUUCUAGGCUUGGGUAUUGGCACCUCAAUGGAGCAGCCCUCUACUUGAUGGCACUGAAGGGGCCAAUUCCUGGAGGAAGACAGACUGGAAAGGAAGCCACAAUCUACUGUUCUUGAUGACACCGCUUGCAUUUGUGUUGGAGACUGCAAAACAUCCAUGCCCUUAAAAUUCAGCAGGAUCCUUCAUUUUGUGUGUUAGGUGAUCUGUAAUUUAAAUACAGCUUUCACGAGGGCAGCACAUUUUCUGGCACUAACAGUUGAAGUUGCUGCAGUUCUUUCAGACCUGAAUGUUUAUGGCUUCUGGAAUCUGAUGUGAUAUUGAGAAAGGCCGGAUGGUGAUGUUGUCUCUAUCAUCAUGAGUGAUGUACUUUGUACCAGUCAUUUAUGUGAUUGUGUGUAAUACGUUAGUGUUAUACAAAACUGUGUCACUUUAGCACAACAAGAAAUGAAAUUUGUCCUUGCUGAGCUCCUUUCUGAGUUACAUCUGAGUAUGGAACAUCUUUUUCCUGAGGGUUUCCUGCAGUGCUGGGUAUGGAGCAGCAGCAGGCCCCAGCUUGCUGCACUUUGCUGGGAAUCUCUUACGUAUGUAAUAAUUUUGAAUUAUGAAAAAUCUCAAACUAGGCUAUUAACUCUAUUAGAUAGACAUUGUGAUAAACAGCCACUGGAACUACCCAGUAUAUGUCAUUUUCUGAAGUUACCAUUUCAAAAAAACCUACCAAACCUCAGCACACUGGCUUUCAAACCAAUAUGUUUUCUCCCCAUCUAAACUUUACUGAUGGUCUCAGUUACAGCUGGAACCAUAACUUUAUGGUGUAAGGUAGAAAAAAGGUUGUUUAUUGGAAAGGACAAAUGAAAGAUGAGAAAGCUGAGCUCAGCCUUCAAGUAACAGACUGGGGAACCAAAGUAUGGCUUUGGGGUCAUAGGUGUCAGUGACAGAAAGCUUUUGGUGGCUGCUUGUGAGGGCAGAUCAUGCACAAAGUUUGAGCAGACUCUGAAAGUGCGUGAGCCUUGGGAAGCUCUCACCCUCCUCUGGCGGGUGAGUGUUCUGCUCUCAACAACAGGCCUUGUAUCAUGGCAGCCUGUGCACUAUGUUUGAACUGUCUGUUAUUGCUGUCUCGCCUGCUCUGUAUCCUGAAAUAGUGCAAAACACAUCCGAUGUUAAAUGCCGUUAUUCACAGGGUCUGCAUGCAUACAUGUGCUCUGGAGAGUAUCUGGUAGGUCGACUCUAUUCGUAAUCUCAAUGUUUGGCUCAACAAACAGAAAUGAUGUGGGGCAGCUGGUGAGCUGAGCACAAACGUCUGCCAGCCAAGACUGAUUCUAGAUCUUGCUCUUUGCAGUGUCCUGCAAAACUGAUGAGGUAGCUGGAGCUGGUCUUGUGGUGAUGACGUAACUCCCCUUCUGCUAGCUGCUGCCAGCACAGUUUGGGGACACACUGUUCCCGCUGCAUGUGAAGGGCUCCACUGCGGUUGGAAGGGAUCAAGUACCAAACCUGGUGCUGGUGGGCUCCCUGAGCAGACAAGAGCUCCUCCAGUGCUGCAGCCACCUCUGUCCCUUCUCUCUCUGUCACACUUUUGCCACAUCUACACUAUACCUGGUAUGGUGUCCUUAUUUCCUAAAAGUUCUCUUUGCCCAGCUACGGCAGCUGUACUGUGAGAACCAGAACCGUUUGCCUUUGCUUCUUUGACACAUCAAAGCUUGUGUGCUUCUUUGACACAAGAGAUAGGGCCCUGCAGGGAAGCUGUGUGGUUGCCUUCUCUGUAGCCAUCUGAAUGUCAGGCUCUGCUGUGACAUUUGGGCCGUAACCCCGUGGAGGCAGCAGCAAGACCAGGAAAGGGGGAGCCCUGCAGUCACUGCCCCUCUGCAAAGCAGUUGGGGUGCCUGGUGCCUACUGAGCUCUCUGCUCCUGUUGUGGACCAGCCAGACCCUUUGUGGCUGCUGGAGCCUCCUGCUUGGGGUGCAGAGCAAGAGCUGUGCCUGCCCAUGCUGCUUCUGUGGGGCUGAUGUACCACAAAGCAAAGCGAUGUGCAGGGAUGGGGCAGGUACUGAUUCCCUGAGCUCUGCACGGGUAGUUUGUGUUGCCCUGUGUGCGGGGUGGGUUCACUAGAGCUUUGCUCUCAUACUGCUUUAUUUUGAGCCUCGCAAGUGCAAAGAGCAUCUGUGAACAGGAGUGAGACCAAGGCAUUUCCAAAGGGAGAUCUCAGCUUUAGAUUAUAUCUUGCCUUAAUUUGUUCUUUCAGGCUAAACUCAUUUCUGUGGUGAUAUGCGGUAUCCGCUGUCUUUGUGAUUUAUUUGUGGAAUCUAAGGCAUGAGCUAGCCAGAUAAGAAACAUAGUAAGCAUUUAGGAUGAUACCAUCAACAAUUACUUUAAUUAAUGCUUUCAGUGUUUUGAUUUAAAGAAAAGCCAACAAAAGAAGUCCCAUUAGGCAGGUUAAAGAAAGAUUUUAAGAGGGAGAGUACUUGUUAUUUAUGCCAAGUCAUUGGGCUUAUUAACUACAGAACGUGCUGGAAACUCUGGAAUAAAGUGACGUCUUAUUUGAA